rnacentral:rRNA from 1 species
GUGAAAGGCGGCUUUGCUGUCACUUAUAGAUGGAUCCGCGCCGUAUUAGCUAGUUGGUAAGGUAACGGCUUACCAAGGCAACGAUACGUAGCCGACCUGAGAGGGUGAUCGGCCACACUGGAACUGAGACACGGUCCAGACUCCUACGGGAGGCAGCAGUAGGGAAUCUUCCGCAAUGGGCGAAAGCCUGACGGAGCAACGCCGCGUGAGUGAUGAAGGUCUUCGGAUCGUAAAACUCUGUUAUCAGGGAAGAACAAAUGUGUAAGUAACUGUGCACAUCUUGACGGUACCUGAUCAGAAAGCCACGGCUAACUACGUGCCAGCAGCCGCGGUAAUACGUAGGUGGCAAGCGUUAUCCGGAAUUAUUGGGCGUAAAGCGCGCGUAGGCGGUUUUUUAAGUCUGAUGUGAAAGCCCACGGCUCAACCGUGGAGGGUCAUUGGAAACUGGAAAACUUGAGUGCAGAAGAGGAAAGUGGAAUUCCAUGUGUAGCGGUGAAAUGCGCAGAGAUAUGGAGGAACACCAGUGGCGAAGGCGACUUUCUGGUCUGUAACUGACGCUGAUGUGCGAAA